rnacentral:rRNA from 1 species
AAAUUGAAGAGUUUGAUCAUGGCUCAGAUUGAACGCUGGCGGCAGGCCUAACACAUGCAAGUCGAACGGUAACAGGAAGAAGCUUGCUUCUUUGCUGACGAGUGGCGGACGGGUGAGUAAUGUCU